UCUUAAUUAGAUUACAGAACUAAGAAUUCUUAUAUCAAAUCAAAGAAUCGGAAUCUUUUCUUAAGUAGAAUGACCCUAGUGUUGGUCAGUAGUCGGAUCCUCCCAAGUUCUUGAAGCUUGUCGAGGUCCUUCGACGGCAGUCGAGGAUCCAAGGAGCGCAUGAUUUCCUCUGUGGACUUAGUAGGUGGACGAAGGACUGGGGAGUUGACCGGAGUUGCAGCGGGCGAAGCUGCCGGCCGGCCGGAGCCGGAGGUCCCGCGCCUUGCUCACGUAGAGCUCCUUGACGUUGGUGCCCUGCUGGCUGAGCAAGCGAGCGAGGCUGCGCUUGGCGUCCGAGCGGAAGGGGCAAUUGGUGGCCAUGAAGCCGUCCACCAGGUGGAGGUAGGCCUCCAGGUCGUGGCAGCAGGCUGCGUCGGCGUCGGGCCGCAGGUAGGGGGACAUCCGGUUGUCCACCCGCAGCUCCCGCCCGACGUGCGCGUAGCCGUCGGCGCGCGCGGGGAGCACGCAUGGCACGCGCGUGACCAGGUCGUGCGCGUUCACCACCCGCAGCACCUUGACCGCCCGCCGCUCGACCCGGUCCGCGAACGCCUGGUUCCCCACCCGCGGGCCGCCAAAGGAGAACACCGCUGUCGGCACGUGCGGCGACACGCUCGCCGCCAGCUCGUCCGCCACCAGCACCGCCAGCGCCGCCCCCAGGCUGUGCCCCACCACCGUGAUGCUCAGCUCCUCCCCUGCGUACUGUUCCAUCAGCCUCCGCACCUCCUCCGCCACCAUCGACGACAG
rnacentral:lncRNA from 1 species